ACUGACAGCCAUGGUUACCGCGGCUGCUGGCACGGAGUUAGCCGGUGCUUCUUCUGUGAGUGAUGUCCUUCCUGCCGGCUAUUAACCCGCAGGCUUCUUCCUCACUGAAAGUGCUUUACAACCCGAAGGCCUUCUUCACACACGCGGCAUCGGCUGGAUCAGGGUUGCCCCCAUUGUCCAAUAUUCCCCACUGCUGCCUCCCGUAGGAGUCUGGGCCGUGUCUCAGUCCCAGUNUGGCUGAUCAUCCUCUCAGACCAGCUACGGAUCGUCGCCUUGGUGAGCCGUUACCUCACCAACCAGCUAAUCCGACAUAGGCUCAUCC
rnacentral:rRNA from 1 species